rnacentral:tRNA from 1 species
UGGGGCGUCGCCAAGCGGUAAGGCACGGGUUUUUGGUACCCGCAUUCCCAGGUUCGAAUCCUGGCGCCCCAGCCA